AUGAUUACUCAGUACAGACCUAUCAGUCUAUGCAAUGUCAUAUACAAAAUUAUUUCAAAGAUAUUAGCUAUAAGAUUGAAAAGAAUUUUGCCAGAGGUUAUUUCUCCCACUCGGAGUGCGUUUGUCCCGGGCAGAAAGAUAAUAGAUAAUGUACUGAUUGCCUAUGAAUGUGUUAAUAAGAUCAAAAAUAAAAGAGUGGGGCAAACAUGCAUGUGUGUAGUAAAGCUGGAUAUGCACAAGGCAUAUGAUCGAGUGGAGUGGAUAUUUUUGCGGAGCAUGAUGCAGAAACUUGGUUCUCAUAUACAAUGGAUUGAAAUGAUUAUGGUAUGUGUCAUUUCUAUAAAAUAUAAGGUGAGAUUUAAUUUCCAAGAAACGGAACUAUUUAUUCCAACGAGGGGUAUUCGGCAAGGGGACCCUCUCUCCCCUUUUUUUUUCCUUAUUUGUGCAGAAGGACUUUCUAGUAUGUUGUAG
rnacentral:rRNA from 1 species